rnacentral:tRNA from 1 species
CUCUCGGUAGCCAAGUUGGUUUAAGGCGCCAGACUGUAAUGAUCUGGAGAUCGGGCGUUCGACUCGCCCCCGAGAGA